CCUACGGGUGGCAGCAGUGAGGAAUAUUGGUCAAUGGACGAGAGUCUGAACCAGCCAAGUAGCGUGAAGGAUGACUGCCCUAUGGGUUGUAAACUUCUUUUAUAUGGGAAUAAAACAGGGCAUGCAUACCCUCUUGCAUGUACCAUAUGAAUAAGGAUCGGCUAACUCCGUGCCAGCAGCCGCGGUAAUACGGAGGAUCCGAGCGUUAUCCGGAUUUAUUGGGUUUAAAGGGAGCGUAGGUGGAUUGUUAAGUUAGUUGUGAAAGUUUGCGGCUCAACCGUAGAAUUGCAGUUGAAACUGGCAGUCUUGAGUACAGUGGAGGUAGGCGGAAUUCGUGGUGUAGCGGUGAAAUGCUUAGAUAUCACGAAGAACUCCGAUUGCGAAGGCAGCUCACUGGACUGCAACUGACACUGAUGCUCGAAGGUGUGGGUAUCGAACAGGAUUAGAUACCCCUGUAGUC
rnacentral:rRNA from 1 species